CACAGCUGGAGGAGAAGGAGAAGGAGAAGGAGCUCGAGAGGUUCGGUGUUACGGAGGAGUUAAGAGAGUUCGUGAAGGAAAUUACUAUGAGCACAUUUCAAGAUUUUCCAUUGGAAGAUGACUCGGAGAUGUCUGAAGUGCCUAUGGUGUCAAAUGUGAGGCAGGAUCUUACGCAGUGGCAAGAAAAGCACGCCUGCCUCGUUCUAUCAACAGUCAAGGAAAUAUCAAGGUUGAGAUAUGAGUUGUGCCCACGAACUAUGAAAGAAAGAAAAUUCUGGAGGAUAUAUUUUAUUAUAGUGAACAAUCAUGUUGCACCCUAUGAAAAGCGGUAUAUGGAGGAGGCAAUGCAAAAAUCUGCAGAGCAAGUAAAAGAUAAUGUAGUGGAGGAAAAAGCCAUGGCAACUUCCAAACCAGAGGUGAAGAAAUCAAACCACGAAAGUAAAACUUUGACCUCAUCAUCUGCUGAACAAGAUUUGGAUAUAUUUCUUCUGGGAGGAGACAGUGAUGAGGGUCCAGAUGAUGGUGAAGGGGACUUCGAUGAUUUUGACAAGAUGGUGGAUAGUUCGGAUGAGGAGAAAGGAAAGUUAUAGAAUAUUGCUGAUGUGACAACAUUGGGGACUAUUGCUGCAUCAAAUUAUAAGAGAGGAAAUGCUGCAUUGACACAUGGAAUAAGCGACUUAGUGGAAAACCUCCAUU
rnacentral:misc_RNA from 1 species